UACGUAGGGUGCGAGCGUUAAUCGGAAGUUACUGGGCGUAAAGCGUGCGCAGGCGGUUUUGUAAGUUUGUCGUGAAAGCCCCGGGCUCAACCUGGGAAUUGCGAUGAAGACUGCAAGGCUUGAAUCUGGCAGAGGGGGGUAGAAUUCCACGUGUAGCAGUGAAAUGCGUAGAGAUGUGGAGGAACACCGAUGGCGAAGGCAGCCCCCUGGGUCAAGAUUGACGCUCAUGCACGAAAGCGUGGGGAGCAAACAGG
rnacentral:rRNA from 1 species